CCUCUAUAACCAGGAGGGCGGAGAACAGUUUUUUUAAAGCACAAACUGAUAUUUUCCUAUAGUGAAAUGACUCCAGCAGCUGGGCUUUGAGAAAAGCAUCAGAUAUUACAAGACUUGGAAAAAAUUCUGAACGAUUGCAAUGCUGUAAAUGUAAAGAGGACCAAGUUGAGCAAGAAAGGAACAGCAGAAGAGAUAUGAAUGGGCUUUGCUGAGGAUUUAAAGUUUGAAGAGAGUCACACCCCAAGGGAAUUUUUUUCAAUCUUAGUACUUCAACCUAAAGCUAAAUUCCUUGUUCUGUGUAAUACCUGGUUACAUUUAGCACAAAUAAACAGCAGCCACGAACUCGUGACCAGUCAUUUAUACCGAAAGACUAAAACCCGACCUCAGCUACCAACCAUUGCAGUGGCCUCUCCCAGCAAUGCAGAGGUAGAGGAUCAGUGUGCCAAAUCACAGCUAAGCGCAAGUGAGGUGCUGCAACUCUAUAGGAUAUCAGGCACACAAGGAAAG
rnacentral:lncRNA from 1 species